rnacentral:rRNA from 1 species
AAUCGAACCCGGAGAUAGCUGGUUCUCCCCGAAAUAGCUUUAGGGCUAGCGUCGCAGCGAGAGAGCCGUGAAGGUAGAGCACUGAAUAUGCGAUGGCCGCAUCCCGCGGUACUGAGCAUAAUCAAACUCCGAAUGUCACGGUGUCAUCUGCGGCAGUCAGACGGCGAGUGAUAAGGUCCGUCGUCAAGAGGGAAACAGCCCAGACCAUCAGCUAAGGUCCCAAAGUGCAUGCUAAGUGGAAAAGGAAGUGGAGACGUGCAGACAACUAGGAGGUUGGCUCAGAAGCAGCCAUCCUUCAAAGAGUGCGUAACAGCUCACUAGUCGAAUGACUCUGCGCCGAUAAUUUACCGGGGCUAAGCAUGACACCGAAGCUAUGGACAGGAAUGUGGUAGGGGAGCAUUGCAUGCAGCGGAGAAGCAUGACCGAGAGGGCAUGUGGAGCGCAUGGAAGAGAGAAUGCCGGCGUGAGUAGCGGCACGUGGGUGAGAAUCCCACGCACCGAUGGCCCAAGGUCUCCAGAGGAAGGCUCGUCCUCUCUGGGAUAGUCGGGACCUAAGGCGAGGCCGAAAGGCGUAGCCGAUGGACGACGGGUGGAUAUUCCCGUACCCGAUGUGUGGCGAUGGAGUGACGGAGAAGGCUCAGGCAACCAGCUGCUGGAAUAGCUGGGGCAAGCGAGAUACCUGCGCACCAGGGAAAUCCGGUGCGCAUAAGGGGAAGGCGCGAUGCAUACGGAAAGCUGCGGCAAGUACGGAAAAGCUGAGAGCAGGCUUCCAGGAAAAGCUUCUAGCACAACACACAUCGGCCCGUACCGAAAAUGGACACACAUGGGCAAGGAGAGAAUCCUGAGGUGAGCGAGAGAACUAUAGCUAAGGAACUCUGCAAAAUGACCCCGUAACUUAGGGAGAAGGGGUGCUCCAGAAAUGGAGCCGCAGUAAAACGGCCCAAGCGACUGUUUACCAAAAACACAGCUCUCUGCGAAGGCGCAAGCCGAAGUAUAGGGGGUGACGCCUGCCCGGUGCUGGAAGGUCAAGGGGAGCUGUCAGCGCAAGCGAAGCAGCGAGCCGAAGCCCCAGUAAACGGCGGCCGUAACUAUAACGGUCCUAAGGUAGCGAAAUUCCUUGUCGGGCAAGUUCCGACCCGCACGAAAGGCGUAACGAUUUGGGCGCUGUCUCAGCUGUAGACUCGGUGAAGUCUUAGUACCUGUGAAGAUGCAGGUUGCCCGCGACUAGACGGAAAGACCCCAUGGAGCUUCACUGCAGGUUGACAUUGGGCUUGGAUGCAUGAUGUACAGGAUAGGUGGGAGGCUGUGAGCCGUGCGCGCCAGCGUACGGGGAGCCGCUGUUGGGAUACCACCCUUCAUGCAUCUAGGUCCUAACCGGAGGCAACGGGCCACGGGACAGUGUCAGUCGGGCAGUUUGACUGGGGCGGUCGCCUCCCAAAGAGUAACGGAGGCGCCCAAAGAUACCCUCAGCAUGGAUGGAAACCAUGCAUAGAGUGCAAAGGCAUAAGGGUGUCUGACUGCGAGACAUACAGGUCGAGCAGGGACGAAAGUCGGGCUUAGUGAUCCGGCGGAUCCGAAUGGAAGGGCCGUCGCUCAACGGAUAAAAGCUACCCUGGGGAUAACAGGCUGAUCUCCCCCAAGAGUUCACAUCGACGGGGAGGUUUGGCACCUCGAUGUCGGCUCAUCGCAUCCUGGAGCUGAAGUCGGUUCCAAGGGUUGGGCUGUUCGCCCAUUAAAGCGGUACGCGAGCUGGGUUCAGAACGUCGUGAGACAGUUCGGUCCCUAUCUGUCGUGGGCGCAGGAGGUUUGAGGAGAGCUGCCCCUAGUACGAGAGGACCGGGGUGGACGGACCGAUGGUGCACCAGUUGUCACGCCAGUGGCACAGCUGGGCAGCCAAGUCCGGACGGGAUAAGCGCUGAAGGCAUCUAAGCGUGAAGCCCCCUCCAAGAUGAGACCUCCCAUUGG